UGGGGAAUAUUGCACAAUGGGCGAAAGCCUGAUGCAGCGACGCCGCGUGCGGGAUGAAGGCCUUCGGGUUGUAAACCGCUUUUGAUUGGGAGCAAGCGAGAGUGAGUGUACCUUUCGAAUAAGCACCGGCUAACUACGUGCCAGCAGCCGCGGUAAUACGUAGGGUGCAAGCGUUAUCCGGAAUUAUUGGGCGUAAAGAGCUCGUAGGCGGUUUGUCGCGUCUGGUGUGAAAGUCCAUCGCUUAACGGUGGAUCUGCGCCGGGUACGGGCAGGCUAGAGUGCGACAGGGGAGACUGGAAUUCCCGGUGUAACGGUGGAAUGUGUAGAUAUCGGGAAGAACACCAAUGGCGAAGGCAGGUCUCUGGGUC
rnacentral:rRNA from 1 species